rnacentral:tRNA from 3 species
GUCUCCGUAGCUCAGUGGAUAGAGCAUUGGUUUCCGGUACCAAAGGUCGCACGUUCGAAUCGUGUCGGGGACAC